UUAUCGCGCGAUCGCCUUGAGUUUGAUCAUGGCUCAGAGCGAACGCUGGCGGCGUACUUAACACAUGCAAGUCGAACGAGGAUCGUCGGGUUAGCAAUAAUUCGGCGGUCCGAGUGGCGUACGGGUGAGUAACACGUGGGUAACCUGCCCUCGAGACCGGGACACCCUCUCGAAAGGGAGGCUAAUACUGGAUACGUUCCCCGGGUCGCGAGACCUGGGGAGGAAAGGUGGCGCAAGCUACCGCUCGUGGAGGGGCUCGCGGCCUAUCAGCUAGUUGGUGAGGUAACGGCUCACCAAGGCGAUGACGGGUAGCUGGUCUGAGAGGACGACCAGCCACACGGGAACUGAGACACGGUCCCGACUCCUACGGGAGGCAGCAGUGGGGAAUUUUCCGCAAUGGGCGAAAGCCUGACGGAGUGACGCCGCGUGGGGGACGAAGGCCUUCGGGUCGUAAACCCCUGUCAGAGGGAAAGAAGGGUGUCGGCGUGAACAACGCCGGCAUCUGACGGUACCUUCAGAGGAAGCCCCGGCCAACUCUGUGCCAGCAGCCGCGGUAAGACAGAGGGGGCAAGCGUUGCUCGGAAUUACUGGGCGUAAAGGGCGCGUAGGCGGGAUGGCAAGUCGGUCGUGAAAUCCUUCGGCUCAACCGAAGAACGUCGGCCGAUACUGCCGUUCUUGAGGGAUGCAGAGGAGACUGGAAUUCCCGGUGUAGCGGUGAAAUGUGUAGAGAUCGGGAGGAACACCGGUGGCGAAGGCGGGUCUCUGGGC
rnacentral:rRNA from 1 species